UACGGGGGGAGCAAGCGUUGUUCGGAUUUACUGGGCGUAAAGGGCGCGUAGGCGGCCCGCUAAGUCGAACGUGAAAUCCCCGAGCUCAACUCGGGAACUGCGUCCGAUACUGGCGGGCUUGAAUCCGGGAGAGGGAUGCGGAAUUCCAGGUGUAGCGGUGAAAUGCGUAGAUAUCUGGAGGAACACCGGUGGCGAAGGCGGCAUCCUGGACCGGCAUUGACGCUGAGGCGCGAAAGCUAGGGGAGCAAACGGG
rnacentral:rRNA from 1 species